rnacentral:rRNA from 1 species
CCACGGGAGGCAGCAGUGAGGAAUAUUGGACAAUGGGCGCAAGCCUGAUCCAGCCAUGCCGCGUGCAGGAUGACGGUCCUAUGGAUUGUAAACUGCUUUUAUACAGGAAGAAACCACUCUACGUGUAGAGUCUUGACGGUACUGUAAGAAUAAGGAUCGGCUAACUCCGUGCCAGCAGCCGCGGUAAUACGGAGGAUCCAAGCGUUAUCCGGAAUCAUUGGGUUUAAAGGGUCCGUAGGCGGUUUAGUAAGUCAGUGGUGAAAGCCCAUCGCUCAACGGUGGAACGGCCAUUGAUACUGCUAGACUUGAAUUAUUAGGAAGUAACUAGAAUAUGUAGUGUAGCGGUGAAAUGCUUAGAGAUUACAUGGAAUACCAAUUGCGAAGGCAGGUUACUACUAAUUGAUUGACGCUGAUGGACGAAAGCGUGGGUAGCGAACAGGAUUAGAUACCCUGGUAGUCCACGCCGUAAACGAUGGAUACUAGCUGUUGGGGGCAACUUCAGUGGCUAAGCGAAAGUGAUAAGUAUCCCACCUGGGGAGUACGAACGCAAGUUUGAAACUNAAUGAGUAGAGNGNGAGAGNGCGAGACGACGACGAGGAGGAGG